GUGUGUGUGUCUACUUUUCUGUCCUAAGAGAAAACAUUAAAUACAGGUAUAUUUAAUAUACAGUGAACAUACCAUGUGUUUUCUUAAAGCCAACAAAAUCCUGAUUUCCUAUAGCUUGGAGGUGAUACAGAAGGCAGAAGACAAAUAUCAAAUUUAGCUAAUAAAAUAUACCCUGCCUAUUGGCUCCAGCAAUACACUAUAGAGUUUGAGCAAUGACGGAUACCCAAGUGUAUAUGUUUUGUUAAAAUUUAUCUUCAGGCUAAUACCUGAAGAGGUUGGCUAAUACUUUAAAUCAAAUAUUCUUACUUAAUGAUUUAUCCAUCAAAUGGAAAUAUGUACAACAUAUUUCAAAUCAGAAAAGGGGUGAAUUUUCCCCCUGCCCUUCAAAAAAAUAUUUUUAAAAAUCCACUUGAAAUAAUUUCUUAUUUGAUGCUUUUUAAUCACUUUCCACUUUAUGACAACCAUUUUUCUAGAAAGGCAGACAAGAAUAUAAAAUGACUAAGGGGUCACUAUGAAAACAAUCAAAUGGAUUUGAAAUUUACUUCUGUGUAUUUUCUGUACUCCCUAAGUCUUGUGCUAAUUAAUUACAUUUUACUUCAUCCCCUGUAAUGUUACAAAUAUGCACCUUAAAAUAGAAAAACUUGCUUUUAUAUUUUAAAACCCCCUCCUC
rnacentral:lncRNA from 10 species